UGUCUCUUAGAAUCUGGGGCUCCAAGUCUUGCUGCUAUUGGUGAGAUUUUAACACACAACAAAGCUUUGACUACCUAACCUUUAAAAUCCCCUGCUCUAAAGAGUCUUUUAGUUGAGAUAGAAAAGAGAGGGAAAAGAGAAGAAGAAGAUGUCAACAGCUUCUUCAUUGUGUUCAUCAACUCAGGUUAAUGGCUUUGGCGGGGGACUUAGGCUUCUAAGGACCCAUCUUUCUCAACCCAAGACACUUACCUUUACGAGGAGGAAAAUUGCUACAGUAGUGAAGGCAACUGCUCGAGUUGAUAAAUUCUCAAAAAGCGAUAUCAUUGUUUCUCCAUCUAUUCUCUCUGCUAAUUUCGCAAAGUUGGGGGAGCAGGUGAAAGCAGUGGAAGUAGCAGGCUGUGAUUGGAUCCAUGUUGAUGUAAUGGAUGGCCGAUUUGUUCCAAAUAUUACAAUUGGACCUAUUGUGGUUGAUGCCUUACGACCUGUGACUGAUCUUCCGCUGGAUGUGCAUUUGAUGAUUGUUGAACCAGAGCAGCGAGUUCCAGAUUUUAUUAAGGCUGGAGCAGACAUAGUCAGUGUUCACUGUGAGCAAUCUUCAACCAUCCAUUUGCAUCGUACACUUAAUCAAAUAAAAGGUCUAGGCGCUAAAGCUGGAGUUGUCCUAAACCCUGCUACCCCACUUAGUACAAUAGAAUAUGUACUUGAUGUGGUUGAUCUAGUCCUGAUUAUGUCGGUCAACCCUGGCUUUGGUGGGCAGAGCUUUAUUGAGAGUCAAGUCAAGAAAAUCUCUGACUUGAGAAGAAUGUGUGCAGAAAAGGGAGUAAACCCCUGGAUUGAAGUGGACGGCGGAGUUGGUCCUAAAAAUGCAUAUAAGGUUAUUGAGGCUGGAGCUAAUGCUUUAGUUGCUGGUUCAGCUGUGUUUGGAGCCAAAGAUUAUGCUGAAGCUAUUAGAGGAAUCAAAACCAGCAAAAAGCCAGAAGCAGUGGCUGUGUGAUUUAUGACCGCCAAAGAUCUGAUUGGCUCAAAUGUGUGAUAUCUGUAUUUAGAUUCCCAUAUAAUAUGUCAUGGUUAUUUAUAAGCAAUCGCUACUAUCAUAUUGUCAGAUUGGUCAUGAUGCCAAAUGAUUGAUACAUAAAAGAAAUCAAGGCUGUGGUAAGAUUGCUGUUUUGAAGCCUAAUUGGUGUAUCAUGUCUAUUUUAGGAAUUCAAUGAUUCAUAUGUAUUGCAAUCAUUUUGUAAUGAACUGCAAGUGCCAUUCAUUUCAGUCAAAUAAAGCAAUCUUCCAUUUCUGUUCUU